CUGAGGAAAUUCAUAUAUGGAGCCUGAAGACAUGGCUGGACCACGGGGCUCCAGGGAUCCAUCAGCUACCAAAACCUCCAGUAGGGGAGCUUCGCCGUGGGUAGAGCAUUACAAACUUCCGCCCCCCAAAUCGAGGCAAGCAGCGCCUCUGCAGAGCUGGACUGCGGGUGCCUCAGCCCUCCCUUCCGCCAUCAACGUCCAGCCUUAAGUCCUAGAAUUGCCGCAUCCUUCCCAUCAAGGAAUGUCAGACAAUGGAAGUGCUGAGGGGACACAUCCUCCUUACUAAUGGAAGAGCUGAAGAGCCAGCUGCAAGGCCGCGUGGCUCAAUAAUGGAAAACUGACAGACUUUGCCACGCCCGGUGAGGGUCCAUGCCAAGCCUGUCAUGCUAUCACUUGUAUUUUGUCUUUAUAUGAAAUGAAGAACAAAGCCAGAGAAAGGUACAUUUGUAAAGAAAGCCUCUAAUGCUCAAGAUCUGAAAUCACUACUCCUUUGUACACGUUAUCUGCUGCAACAGUAUGCCCAGGGCAGAGAAUCACCCAGAAACUCAUGAACUGUGCCUCGGUUUUCACGUCAGUCCUCAAGGCUGGCCUUAAGAAAAAAAGGACACGGGAAAUAGCAUAUACGGGGGCAGGGAGGUGUUAACCAUGGAGACAGAAUGCAUGAAGGACACCUGGAGAACGAAGCCACCUCAGGGCACUGAGAAGCCAUUGGAGUAAUUUGAAAAUGGGGGUUCACUGACCAGAUCUGCAUUUUGAAAAGAUCACCAUCACUUCCUUAUUCAGAAUGGAUGAGGAAAAGGCAAGAGUGGAAAAGGCAGCUGGGGGACCAGAGUCUGUUCGAGUGGUCCGGGCAGGAGGUGAUGACUAGCAGAGGUGGACAUGAUAACCAGUACAUUCUGGAGUGACUUGUAGAAAAUGGCAAUAAUCAUCUUGAAUUGAAAGAAAUUUGGCUUUUCCCGUCCCUUCAGCAUCCUUAAGAUUAGCCAUGCUCUCUUGAAAAUACUUCUCGGCCACAUCUGAAGAAAAGCAUCAAAACAACAUUUGAAGAUCGCUUGCAGAGUUGAAAUGGAAACAGGAUAAAUAUGCUUUUAGCGGUGGUGAACUAUUUGAAAAUAGGACCGCUUUGAGGAUCGUGGUUAUGGACCUCUCUCGCCCAUGCAAGGCUGACCAGGAGGGACACAGGAAGCAGAGGUGGACAUUGAGACACUAACAGGACGGAAGCACUAUGAAAAGAAGAGUGGUCAAAAGGCAC